AAAGUGUUCCCAUUACUUCUUAGUUUGCAUUCCUGCUUUCCUUUUGGACAAAACAUGCAUGUAUAUAUGUUAGCUCAAGGAGAGACCUCCAGGCAUCAGAGAUUGAGAAGUUUAUUGGAAUCAGAGGCAAAAGUCCUUCUAAGACUGAGUUUACACUCUGCUUAGCAGCCACCAGAUGUCAGCAACUCAUCUGAUUUCAGUUCCCUGGCAAAGGGAAAGAAGCUAUGAAGAAGGAAGGACUGCUUUGGGCUGACAUCAGCUUUCUGUAAGUUUCAGGUAUGAGUUAAGGAAGUUGUCUACUCCUAGGAAAAAUGCUAAAGUCUCAGGUAAGGUGGUAGACUGAGGAUGACCAGACAGCACAGCCGUGUGAUGGAUUUGUUAAAUGAACACUUUAAUGUGAUUUUUUUUGGUACUGUUUACAGAUUCCGAAGUUUGUCAGGAAAUUAAAGGUGCUUUGUUGGGAAGACUUUUAAAACUAAAUGCAACCAAAUGAGUAUAUUUGCUUUCAAGUUUUUUUUCAUGUAUGUUUUUAAAAUACUCUUGCUGGACUCUUGAGAAAAACUGUGUUAAGAGGAGAAGUGCAAACAUAAUUUCAAAGAGAAGGCCUAAAUAAGAUAGGCAAAGGGCAGGAAGCAAUUAAGACCAGCUCCUGUGAUGAGUAUUUAUUUUAUAAAACCAGGAUAAGACCUCCAUAUAAUAAAUGUGAGACAAAAUAACUUUGGUGAAUUAAAUAUCAACAUAGCUAAAAAUGCCUUCAGUUUAAUGAAGGAGGCCUCCUUAUUAGUUCACAGCGUUAUAGAACUAUCAUAAUGUAUCCUUCAGGAAGCCAAGUCCAGGGUGUAAAUGCAAUAAGAUCACAUUUAUUAAAAGUUCUCAGAUUUCUAAAAGCUCUCCUGAUAGGGAUGCCCCAUUUCUGCUUUUCUCACCUAAAUUUCAGUGAAUCUUCUUCUACUUUGCACUUCUAGUUUUGUUUUUGUUAUCAGUGAGUCUGUACUUCAAGGUCAGGUCUGCAUCACUCACUCACUGUUGGGAAGUCUCUGUGCGGCUAGAAGUUCAGAGGAAGGGCCAAGUUUCUCCUUUGCCAAGUCUCUUAGUAGGCGAGCUGGUUAGUGGACCCAACCUUGAAGGCUGGAAUUUGAGGUCUUCUGCAGGUGCCUUCAGGUAGUUUGGGCUCAGCAGUGCUAUAGGGACUUUGUCAACAGUUCCCUCCCCAAGGACCUGCAUAGGGCUUGGCUGGGUGGGAGCUGGAGCCAUCUAUUGACAAAACAGUGUUGAACCUACUUUUCCCACUUUAAUGAAUCCCUGAGAUCAGCCUGCUCUGUCCCUCCUGGUCCCCUAGACAAGCCAAGGACUGUCCUUCCUGUUUUCUCCAGCCAGCUUUCCCUACUGACCCCUGAAACUGCCUAAGAUCGCCUUUAAAGUUGACUGGAGGAUCAAACUACCUCCUGGCUCAUGCCUCCCCCCAUCGCUCCAGCCUGAUGUUAUUUCACGCCUCUUAAUUCCUAAACUGCUCCGUGUACCACAUCUUUAGUUCUUUAAUUAACAGUCUUAUAUGACUAAUUAUAUAGAUAUAAUUAUAUAUUGAUAAUUAAUAUCAUAUGUAACACAUUAUAUUAUAUUGCCAUCUAUAUUAUGUAAACCUAUUUCUUCUAAAAUAGGUCAUAAAUUUCUUGAAACUUGAAAACAACUUUUAGCCUAGGAUUUUACAAAUGGUAAUGCAUAAUAUCCACUUCUCAUUGAAAGCAGAGAUAUCACAUUUGCUGAUCAGACUAGGAACUCUAACUUUCAAAAUAAAUGUCCCUAGAAGUAAAUUUAUAAGAUCAAUGAGAGAUAGAACCUGGAACCCUUUGUUCCUUCCUCGUGUACUGCUCUAUUUGAGAACCUUCAGUAAAGAAGGGCCCCGAGGAGAAGUUUCUGUGGUUCAACUUCUAUCCUUUCUCUGGUAGCUGUGGUUCUUUUUGACAAGGAGGAAAGCCAAGCCUCAAUCCCCUAAGGGUAAUUUGACCUGCUAAUUAUAUUCAAAGUCUCAGCUCCCUAAAAGAGGGCUUGACUUUGUUGUCACCUGGGAAAUGUCAACAAAUGACAUUAUCUCCCUUUGAGCAAUCUCUGUGGCUUUUGGCUGGACAAGGAGGGUCAAUAGGGAAGCCAGGUGAGUCAGGAGCCUUGGAGUCACCCGGGAAGGGGACUUGUGGGGCAUUUAAUGAAUGUCUUCCUACAAUUUCGGAUCUUAUUGCUGAACUUUAAUAAAAGUCAUCAUGAUUCUGUUAUAAAGAGAACCUUGGAAGGAAAACCAGUUUUCUGUUUUUUGACUUGUAAAUAAAGGGAGGGCCAGGCAAAAGCAGUGACGGGCAGGUACAGCAUGGGAACAUUGUAACAUGGUUCUGGCUGGCUAGACUAAGGCCAUAUCCAAUGCCACUGGUGUGCAGAGGGAGGCUGUCCCUCCUCUGUCUCCUGCUAAAUCAGGCUGAGGUUGGUUGAAAGACAGUGUGAUCGGUUGAUUAAGAUGACUUCUUACUCCAUUUAGCCAGUGCUUGCUGAGUGCUUUACAUCAUCACCAUAUUUAAUCCCUGCCACAACUCUUGGGAACAUGCUAUCAUUUCCUUUUAUAGAAAAGGAAGCUGAAGCUCUGAGAGGUAAGGAAACAUGUCUGAGCCACACA
rnacentral:lncRNA from 1 species